GAUGAACGCUGGCGGCGUGCCUAAUACAUGCAAGUCGAGCGAACAGACGAGGAGCUUGCUCCUCUGACGUUAGCGGCGGACGGGUGAGUAACACGUGGAUAACCUACCUAUAAGACUGGGAUAACUUCGGGAAACCGGAGCUAAUACCGGAUAAUAUAUUGAACCGCAUGGUUCAAUAGUGAAAGACGGUUUUGCUGUCACUUAUAGAUGGAUCCGCGCCGCAUUAGCUAGUUGGUAAGGUAACGGUUUACCAAGGCAACGAUGCGUAGCCGACCUGAGAGGGUGAUCGGCCACACUGGAACUGAGACACGGUCCAGACUCCUACGGGAGGCAGCAGUAGGGAAUCUUCCGCAAUGGGCGAAAGCUUGACGGAGCAACGCCGCGUGAGUGAUGAAGGUCUUCGGAUCGUAAAACUCUGUUAUUAGGGAAGAACAAAUGUGUAAGUAACUAUGCACGUCUUGACGGUACCUAAUCAGAAAGCCACGGCUAACUACGUG
rnacentral:rRNA from 1 species